CUACGGGGGGCUCCAGUGGGGAAUAUUGCACAAUGGAGGAAACUCUGAUGCAGCAACGCCGCGUGGAGGAUGACACUUUUCGGAGCGUAAACUCCUUUUAUAUAGGAAGAAGAUGACGGUACUAUAUGAAUAAGCGCCGGCUAACUCCGUGCAGCAGCCGCGGUAAUACGGAGGGCGCAAGCGUUACUCGGAAUCACUGGGCGUAAAGAGCGUGUAGGCGGAUUAAAAAGUCAGAAGUGAAAUCCUAUAGCUUAACUAUAGAACUGCUUCUGAAACUCUUAAUCUAGAAUAUGGGAGAGGUAGAUGGAAUUUCUGGUGUAGGGGUAAAAUCCGUAGAGAUCAGAAGGAAUACCGAUUGCGAAGGCGAUCUACUAGAACAUUAUUGACGCUGAGGUGCGAAAGCGUGGGGAGCAAACAGGAUUAGAUACCCGUGUAGUC
rnacentral:rRNA from 1 species